rnacentral:rRNA from 1 species
GACGAACGCCGGCGGCGUGCAUAACACCCACAGGUCGAACAUGAUUUUUGUAGAAAUUUUUUCGGGAAUGGAAGCGAAAUGAAAGUGGCGAACGGGUGAGUAAACACGUGAGCAACCUACUUUACACAGAGCGAUAGCCGUAGGAAACGACGAUUAAUACCGCAUGAGACCACAGAAUCGCGUGAUAAGGGGUCAAAGAUUUAUCGGUGUAAGAAGGGCUCGCGUCUGAUUAGCUAGUUGGUGAGGUAACGGCUCACCAAGGCGACGAUCAGUAGCCGACCUGAGAGGGUGAACGGCCACAUUGGAACUGAGACACGGUCCAAACUCCUACGGGAGGCAGCAGUGGGGAAUAUUGCACAAUGGGGGAAACCCUGAUGCAGCAACGCCGCGUGAACGAUGAAGGCCUUUGGGUCGUAAAGUUCUGUUCUAGGUGAUGAAAACUGACAGUAACCUAGGAGAAAGCCCCGGCUAACUCCGUGCCAGCAGCCGCGGUAAUACGGAGGGGGCAAGCGUUAUCCGGAAUUAUUGGGCGUAAAGGGUACGUAGGUGGCCUUUUAAGCGUAGGGUAUAAGGCAAUGGCUCAACCAUUGUUCGCCCUAUGAACUGGAAGGCUUGAGUGCAGGAGAGGAAAGCGGAAUUCCUAGUGUAGCGGUGGAAUGCAUAGAUAUUAGGAGGAACAUCAGCGGCGAAGGCGGCUUUCUGGACUGCAACUGACACUGAGGUACGAAAGCGUGGGGAGCAAACAGG